UUAAUAAAAUCCGUAUUAUUUGCUUCCCAAAAUGAGUAACUCUUUUUAUUGUUGAUGUUUCGAAUUAUUCCGAGGGUCAAACCGGUCAGUCGCCGUAUCCAUUGAAUGGGUAGGUUUUCAUUCAUCAGUUUGUCUAUGGUUUCUCGGAUUGGAAUUUUGAUAAAUCAUUGUUCGAUCGAUCUUCAAGAUGUGAAGGAUAUUAGAAAAUCUUUCGGCAAUCAAUCUUAGGGCUCGUCCCAAAAUGUGCAUAAUUUAGAGUCUUAGAGCCUACCUAAAAUGGCGGCUGCUAAUCUUUUCCCUUCAAUUUAACAUAACUUGUGUUUUAUGUGGAUUUUCCAGCAAAACCUAAUGUAACGUCAACCACCUCUUCGUCUUGCCACGCGGUCUGCAGGCGCCGUCGUUGGUAUAGGAAAUAAUGGACCCGGCAUAAACCCCGGUAAGUCAUUUAAUCGCUUCAUUGCCGUAAUUUAAAUCGCGCUGUGCCUCAGUUUAAAAUAUAAUUUUUCUAUAAAACUAAACGUGUUAAAACAUAAUUUUUUUUAACCUAGAACAUUCUCUUUGUUCUUAGGGUUUUUUCCUGGACCCUGGUUUUUUCCUGGACCCUGGUUUUUCCUGGACCCUGGUUUUUUCCUGGACCCUGGUUUUUUCUGGACCCUGGUUUUUUCUGGACCCUGGUUCUCUAAGGCUGUGCCAUCCGGUGGCAGCGUUCUUCUUGGCAGUGUCCGUGAAGUUAA